GAGUAUAAACACAAUUAAUGCCUACUUUGUAUUUUUCUUCAUUAGUUUAUUUUGUUUUAUGUAUUUUGUAUUUUUGUUUUGUUUUAAAAGACGGAGUACAGGAACUCUUGGAUGUAUGGUAGGUUAAGGAAUGAUGAAGGUUUUCACGAUGAGGUGGAUAAAUUUAUUGAAGCCGCAGAGAAGCAUGCAUUAAUAGACUUUGCGAUGAAUUAGACAUGUAAUUUGUGGUUUAUAUUGUUCUUGUGUGGUUGUGGAUGAAUAUAUAUAUAUAUAUAUAUAUAUAUAUAUAUAUAUAUAUAUAUAUAUAUAUAUAUAUAUAUAUAUAUAUAUGGUGGUCAGAUUUGAAUUAUAUAUUACGUGCUCUAGUCAUAUUUGAAUUCAGAUUUGAAUUUUUUUUACUGAAAAACAGGCUGU
rnacentral:lncRNA from 1 species